rnacentral:rRNA from 1 species
UGAUACUAAGCCAUGCGAGUCAUUGCAGUAAUGCAAGGCAGACGGCUCAGUAACGCGUAGUCAACCUACCCUAUGGACGGGAAUAACCUCGGGAAACUGAGUAUAAUGCCCGAUAGAACACUAUUCCUGGAAUGGUUUGUGUUCCAAAUGAUUUAUCGCCGUAGGAUGGGACUGCGGCCUAUCAGUUUGCUGGUGAGGUAAUGGCCCACCAAGACUAUUACAGGUACGGGCUCUGAGAGGAGUAGCCCGGAGAUGGGUACUGAGACACGGACCCAGGCCCUAUGGGGCGCAGCAGGCGAGAAAACUUUGCAAUGUGCGAAAGCACGACAAGGUUAAUCCGAGUGGUUUGUGCUAAACGAACCUUUUGACAGUCCUAGAAACACUGUUGAAUAAGGGGUGGGCAAGUUCUGGUGUCAGCCGCCGCGGUAAAACCAGCACCUCAAGUGGUCAGGAUGAUUAUUGGGCCUAAAGCAUCCGUAGCCGGCUCUGUAAGUUUUCGGUUAAAUCUGUACGCUCAACGUACAGGCUGCCGGGAAUACUGCAGAGCUAGGGAGUGGGAGAGGUAGACGGUACUCGGUAGGAAGGGGUAAAAUCCUUUGAUCUAUUGAUGACCACCUGUGGCGAAGGCGGUCUACCAGAACACGUCCGACGGUGAGGGAUGAAAGCUGGGGGAGCAAACCGGAUUAGAUACCCGGGUAGUCCCAGCUGUAAACUAUGCAAACUCAGUGAUGCAUUGGCUUGUGGCCAAUGCAGUGCUGCAGGGAAGCCGUUAAGUUUGCCGCCUGGGAAGUACGUACGCAAGUAUGAAACUUAAAGGAAUUGGCGGGGGAGCACCACAAGGGGUGAAGCCUGCGGUUCAAUUGG